AUUGAACGCUGGCGGCAUGCCUUACACAUGCAAGUCGAACGGUAACGGGCCUUCGGGUGCCGACGAGUGGCGAACGGGUGAGUAAUACAUCGGAACGGGCCCGAUCGUGGGGGAUAACGAGGCGAAAGCUUUGCUAAUACCUCAUACGAUCUACGGUUGAAAGCAGGGGACCGCAAGGCCUUGCGCGGACGGAGCGGCCGAUGGCAGAUUAGGUAGUUGGUGGGAUAAAAGCUUACCAAGCCGACGAUCUGUAGCUGGUCUGAGAGGAUGAUCAGCCACACUGGGACUGGGACACGGCCCAGACUCCUACGGGAGGCAGCAGUGGGGAAUUUUGGACAAUGGGCGCAAGCCUGAUCCAGCCAUGCCGCGUGCAGGAUGAAGGCCUUCGGGUUGUAAACUGCUUUUGUACGGAACGAAAAGCCUUCUUUUAAUACGGGAGGGUCAUGACGGUACCGUAAGAAUAAGCACCGGCUAACUACGUG
rnacentral:rRNA from 1 species